UACUGACUAUAUGUCUGUGGGUUUGCCUGCGGCAAAAGUUGCUGCACUUGACUAUAACACGCCGCCGGCUGCUGGAUAAGCGGCAGGGGAUUUUGCUGCUGAAGUAGCGACUGUUGCUGCUCAUAUUGUGUUUGCACCGGAGGCGGCUGGAUACUAGCCUCUACUACUCUGGGAGCUGCUGGACCGACGGGCACAUAAUUUGGAGCUGGAAUCAAAGGUGGUGGUUGUUGAAAGGUUGGCUGGCCAGGUGGCGUUGCUAAUUGACCAUAAACCGACGGCUGUGCCUCCAAAGAAGUUCUUGGUGGCUCGGUUUGGGGUACUCCAUGGUUAAUAGGGGACAACAUUGUUGGCAUUGGAGCGGGGUUAGCCAUUGACAACGACAAUAUAAGCUGCUUCAUAUCGUCCAACGCUUUCUGUAUUUUGUUAUCGACCUCUUUCAUAUAUUGUAUUUGGUGUAAACAACCGAGGCACUCACAAUGUUUUGAAUAUCGCUGACUUGUAUUGGACUAUCAGUUCCUUGGCCUGCCAUGCUCUCUCGAACUUCUCUCCUUAUAUUUUGCGCGGUCUCACUCAGAAAGGUAGGAGACACUACCGUCUGGUUAGUACCCUCGGAGAUGAUCGAAAGGUCAUGAAAUGCUUGGGUGCUGGCGACAGGAUUUGCUGUACUGGCUGCGGUUGUGGUUGGAUUCGUAAAUGUCAUGACAGAUGAGGUGUUAGGGGUAUCGGUACUACAAGUUACAUUACUUGUCGUCGCCAUAGCGUUGGUUUGUUGUCCUAAACGACUCGCGCGACGGGUUAAAACCAUUUAAAAAACAAAAUUCACACUUAUUUAAAACACAAGGUAUUGUAAAUAUAUAUAAAUACGAAAUUCGUAGCACAGAAUUUUUUUUUGCAGCGUAAGUUCCAAAAGAAAAUAUAAACUAAAAGAUUUUCGAUCUUUCAAACCAAAAAAAACUCAAAAAAAAUGAAAGCAAACUCAAAAUUUAAAAACUUAAAUAACUUGUAUGCGGGCGGCAUUUUCGGGUAAAUAAAAGUUUGCAGGAGAUGCAGAGUACUAACAAAUAACAAAACAACAAAAGGAUGGACAAGAACUAACUGUCUUUCUACAGUACGUACUAAUGAGGUGCAACUUGACCAGGGUUACGUUCUCCUAGUAUUCAAGGACUACCUUCCUAGACCUCCUGCAGAAUUAAAACGUAAGUAUUUUUACAUUAAGACAACUAGUUUAUGGUUAUUGUAAUCUAAAGGGAUGUUGUCGCUAUCCUUCCUUCCAACUUGAGCAUUUAGAGAAUAAACUGUGUCUAUUAUCUCUAAUCCUCAAGUCGUUAGGAAAGGAUAGCAACGAAUGAAUCCAGAAUUCCGCAUGACCCUAU